rnacentral:rRNA from 1 species
UGGGGAAUCUUGCGCAAUGGAGGAAACUCUGACGCAGCAACGCCGCGUGUGUGAAGAAGGCCUUCGGGUCGUAAAGCACUGUCAGGAGGGAAGAGCACCGGAUUCUACGAGUCCGGCUCGACGGUACCUCCGAAGGAAGCACCGGCUAACUCCGUGCCAGCAGCCGCGGUAAUACGGAGGGUGCAAGCGUUGUUCGGAAUCAUUGGGCGUAAAGCGUGCGCAGGCGGCCUGUUAAGUCUGAUGUGAAAGCCCAGGGCUCAACUCUGGAGGUGCAGUGGAAACUGGCAGGCUUGAAUCCGAGAGGGGUCAGUGGAAUUCGUGGUGUAGGGGUGAAAUCCGUAGAGAUCACGAGGAACACCGGCGGCGAAGGCGACUGACUGGAUCGGUAUUGACGCUGAGGCACGAAAGCGUGGGGAGCAAACA